rnacentral:rRNA from 1 species
UGGGGAAUUUUGGACAAUGGGCGCAAGCCUGAUCCAGCCAUGCCGCGUGCGGGAAGAAGGCCUUCGGGUUGUAAACCGCUUUUGUCAGGGAAGAAAUCCUCUGAGUUAAUACCUCGGGAGGAUGACGGUGCCUGAAGAAUAAGCACCGGCUAACUACGUGCCAGCAGCCGCGGUAAUACGUAGGGUGCAAGCGUUAAUCGGAAUUACUGGGCGUAAAGCGUGCGCAGGCGGUUUUGCAAGACAGAGGUGAAAUCCCCGGGCUCAACCUGGGAACUGCCUUUGUGACUGCAAGGCUUGAGUGCGGCAGAGGGGGAUGGAAUUCCGCGUGUAGCAGUGAAAUGCGUAGAUAUGCGGAGGAACACCGAUGGCGAAGGCAAUCCCCUGGGCCUGCACUGACGCUCAUGCACGAAAGCGUGGGGAGCAAACAGGAUUAGAUAGCCCUGGUAGUCCACGCCCUAAACGAUGUCAACUGGUUGUUGGGAAAGGUUCCCUUCUCAGUAGCGUGAGCUAACGCGUGAANUUGACCGCUGGGGAGUACGGCCGCAAGGUUGAAACUCAAAUGAAUUGAC